rnacentral:rRNA from 1 species
GACGGAGGCGCGGCGUACAGCUCAGUAACACGUGGCUAACCUGCCCUCGGGACGGGAAUACCCCCGGGAAACUGGGGCUAAUCCCCGAUAGGUGAAGAACUCUGGAAUGAUUCUCCGCCCAAAAGACGCUUAAAUCAUGCUUUUAGGCGCCGCCCAAGGAUGGGGCCGCGACCGAUCAGGUAGUUGGUGAGGCAACGGCUCACCAAGCCUUUAACCGGUGCGGGCCGUGGGAGCGGAAGCCCGGAGAUGGGCACUGAGACAAGGGCCCAGGCCCUACGGGGCGCAGCAGUCGCGAAAACUUUGCAAUACACGAAAGUGUGACAGGGCUAUUCCGAGUGCCAUCCGCUGAGGAAGGCUUUUACCCAGUAUAGAAAGCUGGGAGAAUAAGGAGAGGGCAAGCCUGGUGUCAGCCGCCGCGGUAAUACCAGCUCUCCGAGUGGUGUGGAUGUNUAUUGNGCCUAAAGCAUCCGUAGCUGGCCAAGUUAGUCCCCUGUUAAAUCCACCGAAUUAAUCGUUGGAGUGCGGGGGAUACUGCUCG